CGCGGCGCCGGCCCCCUUCACCAAUCAGCGCUCGCGACACGGACGGCCCACGCCGGGGCCUCUGGGAGUUGUAGUGCGGCGGGGCGAGGCGGGGCAACCCGCGUCGUGACGCCUGCCUGAGGGGAAGGGCAGCGGGCACGGAGGAGUCGCAGGGGUCGCUGGUUCAGCCGGGCUCUCAAUUCGGACCUGUGGUUUUUUAGAUCAUCCAGGUGCUUUUUAGCCCCAUCCUUCCCCUGUGUAUCUCGCCAUAGCCAGCAGUGCUUCUUACAGUUUAUGCAAUGCAGCGUUUCCUAAGCUAGGCUUACAAAGCUAUGAAGUUCUAUUUCAAGUUUUCACAGUUAUUUCCAGGAAGCUACAUUUUGCAGGGAAACCUGGGAAACCUGCACUCUUCCCUGCGGUGCCUUCCAAAACUCUCCGCUAACCAAAACACAUAAAUGAAACAGCCUUGAACAGCCGAGAAGGAAAUCAACACGGGACUAGUUCUCAAAACAAAAGUUUUGCAUGGAUAAGGAUUUACCUUCUAGCAUGGAGUUUUCCCCCCAUCCUAUUCCUGGCUAAAUCGUUGCUUAUCUCAGAAAUCAGGUAUGCUAGUGAUUCAGCUCUUGGGAAUAGUAACUAUACACAUACAUUCCCUCAGGAGAAUCUGGUACAGCUCAUCAGAAAAACAGAUACUACCAAAAAAUAAAAAAUAAAAAAAUUGGCAGGAGUAUGUAGAAAUACUGUUUCUAGAUACUGGUGAGGCAACAUCUGCACUCCACAUGCUUUUGGAGUCAUAAAAAUACCGGGCAUCCAUGUCAAGAACCCCUUGCAAAAAUAUGUAAGGCUUUGCAACAACACAAUACCCACUGGUAAACUCACUCAAUGUUUUAUAAUAUCAGUUUGCUGUUACCUAUAACUUUUGUCAAAACUAACCAUUUGCAUUCAAGCCAUUUGUUUCCCAUAUGCAAAAUGUGGGCAACAGCUCUUCAAUCUAGCAGGGAAAUGAUGGAGAUAAAUGUAUUUGUCUGUGUGAAGCACAUAUUGUGAGCCUCACGGUAACAGGGGGAGGAAAUUGCAUGUUCUGAGACUGAAACUGUAUACCAGGAUCAAGGCUGUGACAAAGCAAUAAACAAUCAGUUGAGAUGUGAGGUAUGGUGAAUGCUGAGAUCAGGGUUCUGGUUAAAAAAAAAAAAAAAAAGAGAACAAACACUAUGCAAUUCUUUUUUUUUUUUAAGACUAUGUGAUAAUAGGUAAGUAAAAGUAUGCAAGUCCUAAGUUGUGAGUGCUUUACUUUGGAAGGAAAACGUUCUGCAUGGGGUGAGAGUGCAGAGUGCCUGCACGUAACAUGGAGGUUGGGGGUUGGUUGGGGACUUCUUCACGCAGCCUUGCCAUUUAGAAUCAUAAAAUCAUUAAGGUUGGAAAAGCCCUCCAAGAUCAUCUGGCCCAACCAUCCCCCUACCACCAA